rnacentral:rRNA from 1 species
CUCAGGAUGAACGCUGGCGGCAGGUUUGACACAUGCAAGUCGAACGAGAAGCCCGGGGCUUGCCCUGGGUGGAGAGUGGCGAACGGCUGAGUAACACGUAGGAACCUACCCUAAAGACCGGGAUAACGGAUCGAAAGAACCGCUAAUACCGGAUAUAUCCGCAAGGAGGAAAGCUCCGGCGCUUUAGGAGGGGCCUGCGGCGUAUUAGCUUGUUGGUGAGGUAAUGGCUCACCAAGGCGAUGAUACGUAGCUGGUCUGAGAGGAUGAUCAGCCAGACUGGGACUGAGACACGGCCCAGACUCCUACGGGAGGCAGCAGUUCAGAAUCUUGCACAAUGGGCGAAAGCCUGAUGCAGCCAUGCCGCGUGUGCGAGGAAGGCCCUCGGGUCGUAAAGCACUGUCAGGAGGGAAGAACAAUGACGGUACCUCCUAAGGAAGCCACGGCUAAUUACGUGCCAGCAGCCGCGGUAAUACGUAAGUGGCGAGCGUUAUCCGGAAUUACUGGGCGUAAAGCGUUCGUAGGCGGCGCAGCAAGUUGGAUUUUAAAGACCGGGGCUCAACUCCGGAAUCGGGUCCAAAACUGCCGUGCUAGAGCAAAUCAGAGGGUAGUGGAAUUCCCGGUGUAGCGGUAAUAUGCGUAGAGAUCGGGAGGAACACCAGUGGCGAAGGCGGCUACCUGGGGUUUUGCUGACGCUGAGGAACGAAAGCUAGGGGAGCGAACGGGAUUAGAUACCCCGGUAGUCCUAGCUGUAAACGAUGGACACUAGGUGUAGGGAGCUUCGACCCUCUCUGCGCCGACGCUAACGCAUUAAGUGUCCCGCCUGGGGACUACGGCCGCAAGGCUAAAACUCAAAGGAAUUGACGGGGCCCCGCACAAGCAGCGGAGCGUGUGGUUUAA